ACUGCUCAGUAACACGUGGAUAAUCUGCCCUCAGGUGAGGAAUAAUCCCGGGAAACUGGGGCUAAUGCCUCAUAGGAGACGGGUGCUGGAAUGCUCUGACUCCGAAAGGUCCGCCGCCUGAGGAUGAGUCUGCGUCCGAUUAGGUUGUUGUUGGGGUAACGGCCCAACAAGCCUUUGAUCGGUACGGGUUGUGGGAGCAAGAGCCCGGAGAUGGAUUCUGAGACAUGAAUCCAGGCCCUACGGGGCGCAGCAGGCGCGAAAACUUUACAAUGCGAGCAAUCGUGAUAAGGAAACCCUGAGUGCCUGUCAAUGCAGGCUGUUCUGGUGUCUAACACACACCAGGAGAAAGGGCGGGGCAAGACCGGUGCCAGCCGCCGCGGUAAUACCGGCUGCUCGAGUGAUAGCCACUUUUACUGGGCUUAAAGCGUUCGUAGCUUGGUCGUUAAGUCUCUGGGGAAAUCUUUUGGCUCAACCAAAAGGCGUCUCAGGGAAACUGACGAUCUUGGAACCGGGAGAGGUAAGACGUACUUCGGGGGUAGGAGUGAAAUCUUGUAAUCCCCGAGGGACGACCGAUGGCGAAGGCAUCUUACCAGAACGGCUUCGACAGUGAGGGACGAAAGCUGGGGGAGCAAACCGGAUUAGAUACCCGGGUAGUCCCAGCCGUAAACGAUGUGCGUUAGGUGUGUCAGUGACCACGAGUCGCUGAGGUGCCGAAGGGAAACCGUGAAACGCACCGCCUGGGAAGUACGGUCGCAAGGCUGAAACUUAAAGGAAUUGGCGGGGGAGCAC
rnacentral:rRNA from 1 species